CGUCGGCAAUAAUAUGCAAGGAUCAUCGAGUAGCUGUCAAUGGGCUCUUGCUUGCUCGAGAGAUAAGGCUUACGUUACGCAGUUGUAGAGGGCUAGCUCGGUGAAGAUAAUAGCCGACCUUGAGUCGACACAGCAUUGCUAUUGACAAGCCUGUCUGGCGCAAACACUUUGGGUCAUAGACCUUUUCAUAUAAUCGGCUCGUACAGAAUUUCUCCCAAC
rnacentral:lncRNA from 1 species